UACAGAGGGUGCGAGCGUUAAUCGGAAUUACUGGGCGUAAAGCGCACGUAGGCGGCUUGGUAUGUCGGGUGUGAAAUCCCCGGGCUCAACCUGGGAACUGCAUCCGAAACUGCCUUGCUAGAGUAUGGGAGAGGGAAGUGGAAGUUUUCGGUGUAGCGGUGAAAUGCGUAGAUAUCGGGAAGGAACACCAGUGGCGAAGGCGGCUUCCUGGCCUGUUCUUGACGCUGAGGCGCGAAAGCUAGGGGAGCAAACGGGG
rnacentral:rRNA from 1 species